UACAUACUCCCUCCGUCCCAAAUUACUUGUUUUAGAUUUAUCUAGAUACGGAUGUAUCUAACACUGAAACAUUUCUAGAUACAUCCAUAUCUAGACAAAUCUAAGACAAGUAAUUUAGGACGGAGGGAGUAUUAC
rfam:Hordeum vulgare subsp. vulgare, WGS project CAJW01000000 data, contig: morex_contig_2553467